CUAGUCUAAAUGUAAAACGUUUGCUCUGGUUAAGUGGAUUGGCGGGGAGUAUGAGGGCAAAACCAGUAUUUUGCCGACUGACUGCAUUAGUAGACCUAACGUUAAUGAGUAAGACUUUUUCAACGGCUCUGGAUGGGACAACAUCUUGCUAGAAAAAAACGUUAUGUGGUGGAGGGGAGGAAGGCUUUGUCCGGUUUUCGAGGCCAUGGUGGUCAAAAUUGCUGAGAGGGAGGCAACACUCGAAAGCUACAUCAAGGACACCGGAGGAAGGACCAGAAGACCUGAGACCUAGACGACCCAAGCCCAACCCGUAGUAUGCUUCACUGACAAAUGUUGAUGUUGAUGCUUCAUCAUCACAUAGACCAAAGGUUUCAGAGAAGGCUGGUAGAGCUCUCUAUGAGUGUGAGCUGUGGGAGAUAACCCAGAACUGACAACCACCUAAAGAAGAGGUGGCGAUAAUGGCUCUCCAAGAGGAGGUUGUGAGUCUGAAGGCUUUUAUUCAACAAGGAGGCACUUAGAGGGAAUGCCUGGACCCUGAGAGGACUAAGACAAUAAUUGAGGCCACCCUGAAGCAGUUUCCAGGCCAGACACUCACUCCAGAUUGCUGGGCCAGGCAAUAAAUGCCAAAGUGACAGAACUGAGA